rnacentral:rRNA from 1 species
CACGUAGGGUGCGAGCGUUGUCCGGAAUUAUUGGGCGUAAAGAGCUCGUAGGCGGUGUGUCGCGUCGGCCGUGAAAACCUGCAGCUUAACUGUGGGCUUGCGGUCGAUACGGGCAUCACUGGAGUUCGGCAGGGGAGACUGGAAUUCCUGGUGUAGCGAUGAAAUGCGCAGAUAUCAGGAGGAACACCGGUGGUGUAGACGGCUUACUGGACCACGACUGACACUGGAGGCACGAAAGCCGUGGGUAGC